GUCAAGGAUCAGAUCCCCUUAAGGACGAAGUGCAAUCUACAGAGGUUUGGGGAGGAGAAAAGGACACCACAAAGGAAGAGCUAGAGGGUGAAAGAGGCCAAGCAGGAAAUGUUGCCACAGAAGCCAAAGAGAGAGCACAGAAGAGAGGGGAGCGGCCAACAGUAUAAAGUGCUGCACAGAGGUCACGUAAGAUGAAGACCUGAGCGACCAUGGAUUCAGCAAACAGCAGGUCAUGGUGGCUUUGUUAGAGAAGCCAGGCUGCAGUUGGACAAGGUAUGCAUGGGAUAUUCUUAGAAGAAAUCUAACUGCAGAAAGGAGGAGUGUUCUGGCUUUAUAACCAUGCACAGAAUAUUUAAAUACCUUCCUUUGGAUUCCAUUUCUUCAACCAUAAAAUACAGAUAAUAGAAAGUAAGAUGACAGUAGGGCAACAGGCAAGACCCAGGACAUGGUACCCUAAAAAGAUGCUACCUUAUAGUGUUGUUGAGAAGAUUAAAUAAGGAAUGGGAACCUGCCCAGCACUAUAAAGAGUCCUUGGAAAAGACACUCAGAAAACCUUAGUUUUCUUUCCCAUUCCUUGUGCUAGCCAUUCUUUAUUUAGUAAUGAAUCCUCCCCUCAGGAUUUUGAGAUUUGGCAUUUUUCAGCAUCCAGGUAACAUCUCUCAUGAUUAGAAAAUUACAGACCGUAUCUGUGACUAACAUUCAGUUUCCAACCUAACAAUAGUGUUUAUUCCUCCAUUAGGAGAAGUUUUUGAGUCAAGUAAAAUAUGGUUUGUUUCAUAUCAUGCCAGAAUUGAGCUUCUUUAUACAGUGAUGGAAAGCAAGGGAAUGGGGCCAACUACUGGGAGAAGAGUAACUAAAGUCAGUCCUUUGCUCCUAAAGGAUUUUAAGGUGCUUAAGCUCGUAACUCAGGUUGUGAAUCUUCUCACCUUGCAGUCAUCUUAAGUGAACCUCUGAAGAGAGAAGUGGCUAACAGUAAACUUGAUGGUUUAGAAUGCAGCUACCAAUUAUCGAGUACCUUAUUACAGCCAGUGCUUUAUGUAAGUUAGCUCACUUAAACCUCACCACAACCCUUUGAGAUAGGCAUUAAUACACCAUUUUACAGAUGGAGGAGCUGAGACUUGAGGGAUAAAUAGCUUGCCCAGGGUCAUAGUUAUUAAGUGGCAGAGCUUGGAUUCCAGGUGCUACCUUUCUGACACCAAAGCUCAAACUCUUCCUCUAAUGAAGUGAGUGGAUAACUUUAUUAUUGACUCUGGGAUACAUUUUAGGAGUUCUACAGUUUUGGAAUAUAGAAUAAGUUGAUUUUUA
rnacentral:lncRNA from 1 species